CCUACGGGAGGCAGCAGUGGGGAAUAUUGGGCAAUGGGCGCAAGCCUGACCCAGCAACGCCGCGUGAAGGAAGAAGGCCCUCGGGUUGUAAACUUCUUUUAUUCGGGACGAAACAAAUGACGGUACCGAAUGAAUAAGCCACGGCUAACUACGUGCCAGCAGCCGCGGUAAUACGUAGGUGGCAAGCGUUAUCCGGAUUUACUGGGUGUAAAGGGCGUGUAGGCGGGAGAGCAAGUCAGACGUGAAAUUCCAGGGCUCAACCCUGGAACUGCGUUUGAAACUGUUCUUCUUGAGUGAUGGAGAGGCAGGCGGAAUUCCGUGUGUAGCGGUGAAAUGCGUAGAUAUACGGAGGAACACCAGUGGCGAAGGCGGCCUGCUGGACAUUAACUGACGCUGAGGCGCGAAAGCGUGGGGAGCAAACAGGAUUAGAUACCCGAG
rnacentral:rRNA from 1 species